rnacentral:rRNA from 1 species
AUUGAACGCUGGCGGCAGGCCUAACACAUGCAAGUCGAGCGGAGCGGCGGACGGGCGAGUGAGGCAUAGGAAUGUACCUGGCCGUGGGGGUACUCGUCCGGAGCCGGGCGCUAAUACCACAUACUAGAUGCUGAGCAUAGGUCGGAUUAGGUAGUUGGUGGGGUAAAGGACUACCAAGGCGACGAUCCGUAACUGGUCUGAGGGGAUGAUCAGUCACACUGGAACUGAGCCACGGUCCAGACUCAUACGGGAGGCAGCAGUGGGGAAUAUAGGACAAGGGACGAAAGCCUGAUCCAGCCAUGCCGCGUGUGUGAAGAAGGUCUUCGGAUUGUAGAGCACUUUAAGUUGGGAGGCGUUACCAACAGAAUAAGCACCGGCUAACUUCGUGCCAGCAGCCGCGGUAAUAC